rnacentral:lncRNA from 1 species
AGUCUUGAGGCUGAGGCUGGAGGAUUGCCAUAAUUCCAAGGCUAGCUAAGGCUGUGUAUGUUAGGGGUGCAGGAACGAAACUGUCAAAGCAGAGGCUCUAUUGGGGGACGUUUAUAUCAUGAAUAAGAGAAAGAAAACAGCAGAGGCAUUUGGAAGAGUUCAGAACAGAGAGAAAAAGAAGUAGUCUGUAUUUUGAAAUGUAUAACAGGUACUUGUGAUUAGGGACUAUAGGUGCCUAGAGUCUAUCAGGGGCUUUGACAUGAAGCCACGGGUACAUGUCAGUGGAGCUAUAUGUCCAUUCUGAUGUUCCUUCUGCCAGAGGCAAGGGAAAUGACUUCCUUUGGGGAAGGAAAAUCUGUUUCACAGGUUCCUGAGGGAUGCUAGACUUUUAUCUAACCACCAGAAAUCCUACUAUACUCUAGCUUUAGCUCAUUUCUGACAUAUGAAUUGCCUGAGACCUUACACAUAGUUUUAAAAAAAAAAAAACUAUAUAAAAAAAGGAACAAUCCAUCCUCAGGAGCUACUAGUAUGCAAGAGAAGUUCACAAGUUUGCUGCUGCAGUUUAGAAAUGCUAAAUGCGCAUUCUCUAGGCACAUAGGAGCAGCUCCGCCUAGGAACCAGUUCACACAGUGGUGUAAUCGUAGGGACCUGUGUCACCAGGGUAAGGCAUCAUUACUACUCUGCUUAAGCAGCCAGAGAUAAUGUGUGUGCUGAGGAGCUCCUGUGCUUUUCAGUGAUUAUCAAGAAAACAGGGCCUAUGAGGUACCUGAUCACCUGGGUUCAGUCCCUAGCACCCAAGUGAUGGGAAGCCAUAUGCAGAGACACCUGUACACGUUAAGUAAAUGCAAUAAAAAAAUUAACAAGUAACCAGUAGACAUGUAUUUAAACUUAGCUCAAUCCUGAUUAAAAAUGAAAUAGUCUAGGACUAAAACUUAGUGGUAGAGCAUAGCUUACCAAGCAUAAAUUCCUAGGUUCAAUCUCUGGUAUUACCUUCCCCUGCCCCCAAGAAAACUCCAAAUUUUCUUUUUAAAGAGGGAGAAAAGGAGAGAGAAAGAAGGUAAAGUGAAAAAAAAAAAAAAAUGAAAGAAGUGUUGUGUGCUGACCACACCGAGGUGUGCUAGCAGUGCCCCAGAGCUGCCUACUUGGAUAACAGCAAAAUCUCAGUGCGAGUGCUCUGAAUACCAGCUCUGCAUUUAAGUGACCAUGGAUGGAAAUACUCCAGAGGGUUAGGCAUUUAAAACGGCUAUUUUUAUAUGCUCUUGGUAUUUAAGAUGCAGACAUAUGACCAAAGACAUUCAUUCAAAGGAAAUUAGGCAUGCCAAAGAUGGGAAGUAAGAAUUUGGAGAUAAAGAUUAUUACAGAACUAAUGGGAUUCCAUAGUGCAUUGAGAAUUUAAAGGAAAUUUAUCAGACUUUAUUUAGUUUACUAAAGACACCAUUUUUUUCUUACUAAGCCUCCCCACAGCUUAUAUCUACAUUCUAUGUUUUUGGCCAAAAAAAAUUUAAAAUCCUCAGAAAGGGCUGGCUAGAGAAAUUGCUUUGUGUCUUUAAAUGAUAUUAAAAUAGAAUUGAUGUUAUUU